UUUAAAUCUCUUUUUUUCUUGCAGUGAUGGUUGGAUGAGGUUGGUUUAGAUAAGGUGGGUGGCGUAUAUGAUAAAGGUUUGUUAUAGACAGGUGUUUGAAUAUUUGAUGGCUCUAGGAUGGUGAGUGGUGAAGGUAUAGUGGAAGUGGGAACUUGGUGACAUGAUGGAAUUGGUCUCGUGGGGGUGAGGUCCUAAGAUGUCAUUUGUGUUGGUGGAAGGUAUGUGAUGUGAUGAUGGGUGUUGUUUAUGCAUGGAUAUGUUUGGUAAUGGAGAUAAUAUGUUUUGACUUGAACUCUUGGACAAUGGAUCAUGCAAAUUUGGACUGCUGAUGGGAGUAACUGCAUUUGUGCCUUUGAAGGGAAACACUUGUUCAUGGAAUAAAACAUUACGUGAGACAUGAA
rnacentral:misc_RNA from 1 species